ACACUGGUGGUGAAACGGUAUCAUGCUUGCCUUCCAGAGACCAACAGGUGUAGCAAGCGGCAGGGGUUCGACUCCCUUUCAGUGUA